rnacentral:rRNA from 1 species
GGCGAACGCUGGCGGCGUGCUUAACACAUGCAAGUCGAACGAUGAAACCGGAGCUUGCUCCGGUGGAUUAGUGGCGAACGGGUGAGUAACACGUGAGUAACCUGCCCUUGACUCUGGGAUAACUGCGGGAAACUGUAGCUAAUACCGGAUACGACCCUCGGCGGAAUCGCCCGGGGGUGGAAAGAAUUUCGGUCAAGGAUGGACUCGCGGCCUAUCAGGUAGUUGGUGAGGUAACGGCUCACCAAGGCGAAGAGGGGUAGCCGGCCUGAGAGGGUGACCGGCCACACUGGGACUGAGACACGGCCCAGACUCCUACGGGAGGCAGCAGUGGGGAAUAUUGCACAAUGGGCGCAAGCCUGAUGCAGCAACGCCGCGUGAGGGAUGACGGCCUUCGGGUUGUAAACCUCUUUUAGUAGGGAAGAAGCGAAAGUGACGGUACCUGCAGAAAAAGCACCGGCUAACUACGUGCCAGCAGCCGCGGUAA